GAAAAGUGUAACGGCUAAUGCUAACGCUUCCGGUUUGCCAGUACAUGGGGAAAGGAGACCAGAUGCCGUUUUUUUUAAUGGAUGUCAAUGGAGGAGAGGCUUCACUACACCGAAUAAACAGCUUAUUUAAUGAAUCAACAGCCUAUCAGCUAAUCUCCAACAUGUUUUACA